rnacentral:rRNA from 1 species
GCAGUCGUAACAGAGUAGCCGUGGAGUUCCUGCCUGUAAGACUGGGAUAACUCCGGGAAACCGGGGCUAAUACCGGAUGCUUGUUUGAACCGCAUGGUUCAAACAUAAAAGGUGGCUUCGGCUACCACUUACAGAUGGACCCGCGGCGCAUUAGCUAGUUGGUGAGGUAACGGCUCACCAAGGCAACGAUGCGUAGCCGACCUGAGAGGGUGAUCGGCCACACUGGGACUGAGACACGGCCCAGACUCCUACGGGAGGCAGCAGUAGGGAAUCUUCCGCAAUGGACGAAAGUCUGACGGAGCAACGCCGCGUGAGUGAUGAAGGUUUUCGGAUCGUAAAGCUCUGUUGUUAGGGAAGAACAAGUACCGUUCGAAUAGGGCGGUACCUUGACGGUACCUAACCAGAAAGCCACGGCUAACUACGUGCCAGCAGCCGCGGUAAUACGUAGGUGGCAAGCGUUGUCCGGAAUUAUUGGGCGUAAAGGGCUCGCAGGCGGUUUCUUAAGUCUGAUGUGAAAGCCCCCGGCUCAACCGGGGAGGGUCAUUGGAAACUGGGGAACUUGAGUGCAGAAGAGGAGAGUGGAAUUCCACGUGUAGCGGUGAAAUGCGUAGAGAUGUGGAGGAACACCAGUGGCGAAGGCGACUCUCUGGUCUGUAACUGACGCUGAAGAGCGAAAGCGUGGGGAGCGAACAAGAUUAGAUACCCUGGUAGUCCACGCCGUAAACGAUGAGUGCUAAGUGUUAGGGGGUUUCCGCCCCUUAGUGCUGCAGCUAACGCAUUAAGCACUCCGCCUGGGGGAG